GUGCCAGCAGCCGCGGUAAUACGGAGGGUGCGAGCGUUAAUCGGAAUUACUGGGCGUAAAGCGCAUGCAGGUGGUUAGUUAAGUCAGAUGUGAAAGCCCGGGGCUCAACCUCGGAACAGCAUUUGAAACUGGCUGACUAGAGUACUGUAGAGGGGGGUAGAAUUUCAGGUGUAGCGGUGAAAUGCGUAGAGAUCUGAAGGAAUACCAGUGGCGAAGGGCGGCCCCCUGGACAGAUACUGACACUCAGAUGCGAAAGCGUGGGGAGCAAACAGGAUUAGAUACCCUGGUAGUCC
rnacentral:rRNA from 1 species